rnacentral:ncRNA from 1 species
CCAACGCUCGCGGGGUGCCACAAGCUGAGAUACCGGUCAAAGAAUUGACUUGGUGAACCCGCAGAACCUGAUCCGACUAGUAUCGGCGUAGGGACGAGCAAGCCAAGUGGA